UACGGAGGGUGCAAGCGUUAUCCGGAUUUACUGGGUUUAAAGGGUGUGUAGGCGGGUCUUUAAGUCAGUGGUGAAAUCUCCGAGCUCAACUUGGAAACUGCCAUUGAUACUAUUGAUCUUGAAUUCUGUUUGAGGUGGGCGGAAUAAGUCAUGUAGCGGUGAAAUGCAUAGAUAUGACUUAGAACACCAAUUGCGAAGGCAGCUCACUAAACAGAUAUUACGCUGAGGCACGAAAGCGUGGGGAUCAAACAGG
rnacentral:rRNA from 1 species